rnacentral:lncRNA from 1 species
AAAAAAAAAAAAAAAAAAAAAAAAAAAGAGCUUUUUAACCUGCCGGCGGCCAGCGAGAGCGAUAAGAGCGAUUCUGAAAGCUGCACGAGCCGCCCUGGCUCCCGAAGCCGUGCUGCCCACGCCGCGUUCCUGCCUGGAUCUGGCUCGUCUGGAUGGACCGGGCCGCUCACGCAGUCGGAGCAGCCUCAUUCCCGAAAACGUCUCCCUUCGGCAGGCUGGGAACGCGUAACCUGCCGGUCCGGAUAGGCACGUGGGCUGGCGAGGACGGCUCGCUUCGGUGCGUUGCGAUGGGGCCAAGCCACGGUGGAGAAGAGCCGGUCCUGUCCUUGACGUGGCUUUGGGUGGAGAAGGCAGCGAGGUGGUCGCGAGCGGCAGAUAUUCGCCGAAGGAGCGCCACCUCGACUCCCGCCACGGAGCUGGGGGACGCUGUCAAGCGGUUUCCCUUUGGAAAAGCAGCCCGUUUCCGCAGCCGCGGCCGGUUCGAGGGAGCCCUUGGCGGGAAGGGGGACGCGGAGGUUUCGAACCGGAGCGGCGCGGCUUUGCGCGCACCGUGGCUACGAGAGGUCUCGCGGGGGAACAAAAAACCAGGCUUGGUGUCUUGGUGA